GAAAUACUUAGGAAUACAUUUAAUAAAAGAAGUAUAAAACCUAUAUUCUGAAAACUACAAAAUAUUGUUGAAAGAAAUGAAAGAAGAUCUAAACAACAAAAAAGACUUCAUAUGGAUACUCCCUGGGACUCUAUGGAAUGCAACAUAAUACUUAUCUAAAUCCCAGUUGUUUUUUUGUUUUGUUUUGUUUUGUUUUGUUUUGUUUUGCAGAAAUCAGCAAGCUGAUCCUAAAAUUCAUAUGGAACUAUUCAAGGGUUCCAAAAUAACCAAAACAAUCUUGAAAUAGAAGAAUGAAGAUGGAAAGAUUCACACUUCUCAAUUUUGAAAAUUACUACAAAGCCACAGCAAUUAAGACAAUAUGGUAUUAGCAUAAGUAGAGACAGGUUUGUAGAGGUGCCAAGAGACCGACAAGACCUUCUGCUGGGACUGAGGGGAGAGAAGGCAGAUCAGAAGUUUCAGGUGAAGAGGGUAUUGCAUUGGAAAUGAAACGGACAGGAUGGAUGCUGAUCAGAGAUACACAAAAGAAUUUCCAAGGGUGUCACUCUUCUGUCCGGCUGUGUGAUUUUUUUCCCCCACUGAGCCCAAUACUUUCAAGAUGAGUUGAACAAAAAAAGGGGGGUGGGAUUCAGGGCAGGUGUAAUCCUUGGUUUUGCAGGGCAGGUGUAAUAAAAAGACUACAGGAAGGUCAAGUUGAAGGUACUUGUGAGAGUACUUGUGAGAGAAAUGAGGUGAGAGAUGCCCAGUGAGAGACAGCACAGGAGAUAAUGGAAGAAUGGGGGGUUCCAAGUUGGCAGAGAUGGACAGAGCUGGAAGGAUAGGUUGUCAUGAUCAGAGGCCAGAACAAUGGAGCAUAAGAUGUCAUAAUUGAAGCAGUUCUGGGCAGUGACAAGGCCCAAGGAGAGCCUGAGAAUGGGUUGCUGGUGGUGAUGGGCGGGCACGGAGGAAGCUGUGCCAAGUCAUCGCACACUUACAGCACUGCCGAGGGGCUUUCCCCCUAGACAGGAACUAGUUCACUGGAGCUCUGGUGCAGAGAGAGGCCCAGGCAGCCGCGAGGGGAGUAGGG